UACGUAGGGGGCAAGCGUUGUCCGGAAUUAUUGGGCGUAAAGCGUGCGAAGGCGGUGAUGUAAGACAGGUGUGAAAUCCCCGGGCUUAACCUGGGAACUGCAUUUGUGACUGCAUCGCUGGAGUGCGGCAGAGGGGGAUGGAAUUCCGCGUGUAGCAGUGAAAUGCGUAGAUAUGCGGAGGAACACCGAUGGCGAAGGCAAUCCCCUGGGCCUGCACUGACGCUCAUGCACGAAAGCGUGGGGAGCAAACAGG
rnacentral:rRNA from 1 species